UGAGGAAUAUUGGUCAAUGGGCGAGAGCCUGAACCAGCCAAGUAGCGUGCAGGAUGACGGCCCUAUGGGUUGUAAACUGCUUUUAUAUGGGGAUAAAGUGGGGAACGUGUUCCCUUUUGCAGGUACCAUAUGAAUAAGGACCGGCUAAUUCCGUGCCAGCAGCCGCGGUAAUACGUAUGGGGCGAGCGUUGUCCGGAAUUAUUGGGCGUAAAGGGUACGUAGGCGGUCUAUUAAGUCAGGUGUGAAAGCGUGAGGCUUAACCUCAUUAAGCACUUGAAACUGAUAGACUUGAGUGAAGGAGAGGAAAGUGGAAUUCCUAGUGUAGCGGUGAAAUGCGUAGAUAUUAGGAGGAAUACCGGUGGCGAAGGCGACUUUCUGGACUUUUACUGACGCUCAGGUACGAACGCGUGGGGAGCAAACAGG
rnacentral:rRNA from 1 species